AUGUCUCCUCAUUUCCAACCUCAAACCUCCCCUGGCGCAACUUGAGGCCAUUCCCUCUAGUCCUGUCACUGGCUACCUGUGAGAAGAGGCUGACCCCCAGCUCUCGUCGUAGGGCCCUAUGGAAUUUUUUCUCAUAUGAGGAUCAGGGGGUCUCCUAUGGAAAUCCAGUCACAAUCCAGUCACAUGCCAGUGUAGUUCCCACCCAUCCUAUCCCCAGCCUGAGGGUAGUCAAAACAUCCAUCAGACUGCGGCACUGAAAGCUGGAAAGCAUUCUUGGCACAGCAGAAGCCAGCUGAGAACAUGGUGGUCAAUGCUGUGGGAAAGCAGUGCAAACUGGAAAUAUGAAGAAAAGAUGAAGAUAUAAAGAACAGGCGGCCCUUCCUUGAAAAGGCCAUUUUGUCUCUUGUAGUUUCUUACACUGGCAAGCUGCUGUUUCCUGACAGUUGCAUGGGAGGAUUUUUUUUUUGUCAAUUUCUCCUCAAAAGCUGACUCUUUCUUAUACCCUUUGAUUUUCUUUCUGUCUAGCUCUUAAGAAAGGAAGAUGCUAUAUUAUGUAAUAUAUAU